GACGAACGCUGGCGGCGUGCUUAACACAUGCAAGUCGAGCGGAAAGGCUCCUUCGGGGGUACUCGAGCGGCGAACGGGUGAGUAACACGUGAGUAAUCUGCCCUGCGCUCUGGGAUAGCCACCGGAAACGGUGAUUAAUAUCGGGUAUGACCGCUACACGCAUGUGUUGGUGGUGGAAAGUUUUUCGGCGCAGGAUGAGCUCGCGGCCUAUCAGCUUGUUGGUGAGGUAAUGGCUCACCAAGGCUUUGACGGGUAGCCGGCCUGAGAGGGUGACCGGUCACACUGGGACUGAGACACGGCCCAGACUCCUACGGGAGGCAGCAGUGGGGAAUAUUGGACAAUGGGCGGAAGCCUGAUCCAGCAACGCCGCGUGAGGGAUGACGGCCUUCGGGUUGUAAACCUCUUUCAGUACCGACGAAGCGAAAGUGACGGUGGGUACAGAAGAAGGACCGGCCAACUACGUGCCAGCCGCCGCCGUAACAC
rnacentral:rRNA from 1 species